UACGUAGGGUGCGAGCGUUAAUCGGAAUUACUGGGCGUAAAGCGUGCGCAGGCGGUUUUGUAAGCCAGAUGUGAAAGCCCCGGGCUUAACCCUGGGAAUGGCAUUUGGGGACUGCAAGGCUGGAGUGUGGCAGAGGAGACUGGAAUUCCUGGUGUAGCAGUGAAAUGCGUAGAUAUCAGGAGGAAUACCGAUGGCGAAGGCAGGUCUCUGGGCUGACACUGACGCUCAUGCACGAAAGCGUGGGGAGCAAACAGG
rnacentral:rRNA from 1 species